AGUCACUGACAUUAGAUACCCCCGUAGUCCAGGGUGUAAACGCUGCAGACUUGGUGUUGGGGGCCCUUUGGGGCAUUCAGUGCCGGAGAGAAGUUGUUAAGUCUGCUACUUGGGAGUACGUCCGCAAGGAUGAAACUUAAAGGAAUUGGCGGGGGAGCACCGCAACGGGAGGAGCGUGCGGUUUAAUUGGAUUCAACACCGUAAAACUCACCAGGGAAGACUGUUACAUGAAGGCCGAGAUGAAGACUCUGCUAGAUUUUCAG
rnacentral:rRNA from 1 species